UACGAAGGGAGCUAGCGUUGUUCGGAAUCACUGGGCGUAAAGCGCACGUAGGCGGAUGUGUCAGUCAGGGGUGAAAUCCCGGAGCUCAACUUCGGAACUGCCUUCGAUACUGCGGGUCUCGAGUCCGGGAGAGGUGAGUGGAAUUCCUAGUGUAGAGGUGAAAUUCGUAGAUAUUAGGAAGAACACCAGUGGCGAAGGCGGCUCACUGGCCCGGUACUGACGCUGAGGCGCGAAAGCGUGGGGAGCAAACAGG
rnacentral:rRNA from 1 species